UGGGGAAUCUUGCGCAAUGGACGAAUGUCUGACGCAGCGACGCCGCGUGUGGGAUGAAGGUCUUCGGAUCGUAAACCACUGUCAGAGGGGACGAAGGCCCGGCGGCUCAUACCCGACCGGGAUUGACGGUACCCUCGGAGGAAGCACCGGCUAACUCUGUGCCAGCAGCCGCGGUAAUACAGAGGGUGCGAGCGUUGUCCGGAAUCACUGGGCGUAAAGGGCGCGUAGGCGGCUGGGUAAGCCGCGCGUGAAAGCCCGGGGCUCAACCCCGGAACUGCACGCGGGACUGCCUGGCUCGAGUAUGGUAGAGGCGAGUGGAAUUCCUGGUGUAGCGGUGGAAUGCGUAGAGAUCAGGAAGAACACCGGUGGCGAAGGCGGCUCGCUGGGCCAUUACUGACGCUGAGGCGCGAAAGCGUGGGGAGCAAACAGG
rnacentral:rRNA from 1 species